rnacentral:rRNA from 1 species
AAAUAGAACUUUGCAGAGAGAGUUAACAGGGCGUGAAACCGUUAAUUGGCAAACGAAUCGGAGCCACGAAGUCGUUUCGUCGAUAGUUUGGCUGAGUUCAGUGCUUAUAAAGUUGAACAAACCUUGUAAGCGCGUACUCUCAUGUUGAACCAUCUUUGUAAGCGUACACUGCAACUAGUUAGACGAUUGACAAUGGGCCUAGUGGGCUGUUGCGAGAGGUAGUGAAUUGGCCCCGUGAAUGCGGGUGUCCGGUUUGCUGGCUCGCAAUAAGUGAGCUAUUGUCAAAUACUGACUGGCGAAAUGAAAAUCACCUUCGUACGAAGUGUGUGUUCAAAAAGUUGUCCAAUGCAGUAUUAUCACGCAGUUGGCGCGUAAGUUUUAAAGUUCGGUACUUUUGAAUUUAGACUUGCAUGCUAUCAACGGGGCAACUCUUGGUGCAUGUAUAGCCUCUAUCUAAUCGGGUAUUGACUUGGCUUGCGUGAAAGUCAUCUGUGAAACGAUUGGUAGUACUUGGUUGGAUUAACUAAUAGAAUUGGCAGUGAGUAGGUCGGCUUUCCGAACGACCCGUCUUGAAACACGGACCAAGGAGUCUAGUUAGGCAUCGAGUCGAUCGGUCUUGAAUAGGCCAGCUUGUGAGCGCAUCUGUGCUGGAAGGCGUAGAGAAUCAUGUGAUCUUGUGGCAAAACCAAUGCUGCGAGCGCAACAUGUACCUGCUCGUAUGCCAUUGUUGCAACGCGCAAUGUUGGCUGUUGAUGGCGGGCGGAGUAAAGAGAUGCUUGACUGGUACCCGAAAGAUGGUGAUGCUUGGGCAAAUUGAAGCCAGAGGAAACUCUGGUGGAGGAUUGUAGCGAUUCUGACGUGCAAAUCGAUCGUCAGACCUGAGUAUAGGGGCGAAAGACUAAUCGAACCAUC